UACAGAGGUGCCAAGCGUUGUUCGGAUUUAUUGGGCGUAAAGGGUGCGUAGGCGGUCAUGCAAGUCGGAUGUGAAAUCCCGGAGCUUAACUCCGAAACUGCAUUCGAUACUGCCGUGCUUGAGGACUGGAGAGGAGACUGGAAUUUACGGUGUAGCGGUGAAAUGCGUAGAUAUCGUAAGGAAGACCAGUGGCGAAGGCGGGUCUCUGGACAGUUCCUGACGCUGAGGCACGAAGGCCAGGGGAGCAAACGGG
rnacentral:rRNA from 1 species